GGUAUUAGAGUCGAGUAUAGAUUUAUUUUUACAAAUCUAGUCUUGAGUUUGUUACAGAAAAAGAAAAGGGUCACAAGUUAAAAAUUUAAAAUCUGAUUCGUUCUUGUUUGUUGUUUUUACACUAGAUCAGUAUUCUCUAGUGUUAUUUGAGUGUAGAUGUGAAAUUUCAAGCCAUGUGGAGUUGAUUGGGAGAUUUCACCAUUGUUAGAUUGAAAACUUGAAGAACAAAGUAAAAUGGAUUUUAAGGAUUGAGUGAGGUUUUGGACAUCAAAGAGCUGGGCUUGUUCUCUAACUUGAGGAGAAGCUAAAUCUGAAAUUCAGAGGGAUUCCAAGAAAUAUUGAAGUUAGAAUUUUGAUUGUUCUUCAUGUCUUCGAAGAAGUUACAAAAGUACCAAGUUUGAUCCAUACACCAAAUGAAAUGUUUGGAUUAAGUGUUUCAAGAUACAAAGGGGGUAAUUUCUAGGUGAAGUGGGCCCCACAAAAGGAAGCGAAGGAUCAGAAAAUAUCAACCAGAAGUCCAAUGCACAAAUUUCAAAUGAGAUUUCACAACAAAAGGUUACCCAGUGUAGAGGGGACCACAAA
rnacentral:misc_RNA from 1 species